UGACACAAUUAUAAGCAAAUAGCGGCGGCUCUAAACCUACGCCAUCUGCAAAUAAAAUAGGGCGCUAAUAUUUCCCACGCUUAUUUUUGCUUCGUUCAUUUUUUACUCUUGAAAAAAAUACAAAUAUAACAAAACCUCAAAAGCUCCGCCACUUCUCACUAACGUUUUUCCACAGACUCAAGCAGUGGCAAAGACAUCUCAAUCACUCACUCGGGCAUAGUAAUCGACAAGUAUCUUCAAUUACAGUAAGUUCUUCUACCCUAUUUUUGGAUUAGUGCAAUGUUAUUUCUACAAAUGGGUCUUUCAUCUUCCCUAUUUUUGGGUUUGUAUAAUCAGUAAUUUUUGUAUGUUUUCUAUUUCAUGUGGCUUUAAUUUUAUUUUUGCUGCUUUUUUGGAUACUGUAUGUUAGAUUUGGAUUUUCUCUGUUUAUUAGAGAUUUUUUUGUUUGUAUAAUCACUCCCCUUGUCAAAUAGAUUUUUAAGCUUUCCUCUUUUCGGUUGGUUGCUCGGGUAUUUGCCUGACUACUGUACUUGAUGAAUGAUGAAUCAGAAACUGCCUAUUCCUUCAUUCUGUUUAACGCAUCUGUAUCUCUAGUCACAUAUCUUUUGCUUGUCCAUUCUUUUUAUCUUUGCAUCUUCGUCAAUCCAUGCCCUAAUUCUAGUUAUUUCAACAGUUCCAAAUAAACUGUUCUAUUUAAUUGUUUGGGGUGUACUACCUAGUAUAUAAACAUUUUUCCUAUAAUGCAGGAUACAUUUUCAGUAUCCUAUUGCGGAAAGGUAAAGCUAGGAACACUUUUAAACCAGCAAUAUUUCAGUUAUGGGAAUAAGUUACUUUAUCUUCUAUUUUGGAACUGCCUAUGUUUAUACAAAACUGUAGGACCAAUAUUUGCUCAUCAAACGAAACUACAAUUCUUGCAUGAAUACUUGUAUGCUGUUGAACCCUUUUGGUUCAUUUCGUUGGAAAACACAUGGCAAUCUAUGUUGGACUCCAGUUCUAGAAUUUCAGGAAAUAAUGUUUUUUAUCUAGUCUUUUAUUGUUGGUAAGUGUUGGCAAUCUAUGUUGGACUCCAAUUCAUCAAGUACAUUAUUUUUGCUGCUUUUUUGGAUACUGUAGUAGUUGUUGGCGUGAAAUUGUUGUAUGAUAUAUCGCUGUAUACAAAAGAUGACAACUGUCAUGAGAAGACACCAAAUUCUUGUAAAUGCAUUCUUGCACCAAACAAAAAGUUUAGGGAGGAAAAGGUUAACUUUGAAGUGUGGCACGCUUGAAUACAUUAUUCCUUGCUAGCUACGAUGUUAACCAAACUUUACUACUAAAAUGCAGAAAAAGAAACAAACUUGAGCAAAUACCAACAUGUUCCUUUUGUUGGUAUUUUGGCAGCUUGAUGUCAUUUUUAAAUGAAGAUUAAAUUGUCUGCGCUAAGUUGGAAAUGUACUGUGGUAGAAAUAUAUUAUUCAUGGCAGCUUUUCGGUUAUAUUUUUCUUGUGCAAAUGUGCUUUAGUUUGCAGAUUUUGAAUUACAGUGGUUCUUGAAAGAAAGUUGAAUUCGGUUUUUGCAUCUUAUGAAGGUGUAAUUUAGUUGCAUUUUGUGGGUUUUAAGGCUGCGUACAAUAAACCCUUGUGGUCCGACCUUUUUUUGGAUCCGCUUAUAUCAGGCUCAUAGUGCACCUAAUUUGCAAAGUCAUUAAAUAUUGUUGAACUUUUUCAUGAUAUUUGACAUUUAUCUCAUUGCUCUAACCUUCAUUGUAGUACCUUUUAUAUAAAAAAAAGGCAUUCAUUGUAGUACCUAGUGUAUUUAGUUUUAUAUUGUCUCCUCUCUCCCCCUCACUAUUGAAAUUUACUCUACUUCUUAACCUAAAAUCCUCUAAAACAAAUUAGAAGAAUAAAGAGAGAUUAGAAUAGGCAGAAGAAUUGCAAAUUUAUUUACUUUGUUUCUUAAUCUCAAAUCUACCGGUACUUCAUGAAAAUCACAAUUAUCUUUUCUUAAGAUAUUUGGUUAUGUAUGUUCUCUAUUAGAAUUAACUAAUUUUUUCAUUUUCUGUUCUGUUUUCUUGUGCUAAUAGACUACUAAUUUUCUUCCUCAUGAAAUCUUAUAGGUUAUAUUAUUGCACAAUAAUCUAACUUCCAAUGGAUAAAUCUUGGAUUGGAAUGCCAAGGAACACACCAGGGAAGUGGCAGACUAGAAAUGUAGCGUUUGAUCAUUUGAUCGAUAAGCCGUUCCCUCAACAUUAUGUCACUUGGGUUAUGCAUGGGGAAAUGAAUGUAUUGCAUAAUUCUGAAAAUAUGGAGGUCAUUCAAGAUGCACCACCCGUUGAAAAUCAUGUAGAAUUGUUCAUUAAUGAAGCAUUAGGGGGCUUAAGGCAUGAGGGUGUUGAUGUAGGUCCGUCACAAGUAGUCGGAGAAGAAGAAAUGAUACAUGAUAUGCCCACUUCAAAUAACAAGGAUUUUUUUGAGUUGCUUAGAGAUGGACGUCAAGAAUUAUAUGAAGGGUCUAAGUACUCAAAGUUGGAAUUUUUGUUAAAGCUUUAUCACAUAAAGUGUUUGUCUGGAUUAAGUGACAAGGGAAUAACUAUGAUACUAGAUCUACUCAGAGAUGCAUUUAAAUUUGCAAAGAUUCCUCAUUCUUUUUAUGAAGCCAAGAAGACCAUCAGUAAGUUGUGUCUUGAUUAUAUCAAGAUAGAUGCUUGUCCAAAUGAUUGCAUGUUAUACUGGGAGGAUGAUGUUAAUGCAGAAGCACGCAAGUAUUGUCACACUUCCAGAUGGAAGCCCGAGAAGGAGAGCAGUAAAGACCGUGAACCAACAACAAGAAUGAGCCAUACCAACAACAAGAAUUUGGACAUUUUUUUGAUGUUGAUUACGAGAAUAUCCAACUUGCAAUAGAGGAGCAUAUGACUGAAUAGAUAUAAUAAAAUAUCCAAAUUGCAAUUGCAACAAGAAUUUGGACAAUCUUUUGUUGCUUGAUUAGGAUAGUUUGAUUAGUGUUUUUUUUCUUCAAAACCUACUAUCUUUUGGCUAAGAAAGUGAUAUUUAUUCUUUAUGAUGAAAGUUUUGUGAUUGUUUGUUGCUCGGGUUUUGCGUUGAAUUCGGUACGUGUUUGAUAAGCUAUUAUAAUGUGGAUCUAACAUGUUCAAACAUUUCUUUGAAUGUUUACUUUUUAACCAUAUUGGAUUCUUAUUUUUUAUAUUUCUCAGCUACUACUGUUUUCAUGAGCUAUAUUUUGUUAACUUGGUAUUGUGGUAUGCAGUUUUAUCCUUAUAGACUAUGCAAUCCUUCAUGGUGUUGUUGUAUUUGCUAAUAUUAAGGUAGCCUUCUUGUGUGAGUAGUCUUUAGGGAAUUGCAGAUAUGCCAAGGUUCAAGCGUUUGCUGAAAAAGCAAAAUUCAGAUAAGUCAGCAUCUACUUCACAAGGUACUGAAUCAACGCCAUGCAUGCCAACACAUCCGACCACGUCAAUUUUGGCCACAACACAUCUGGCCCCAUCAUUUCAGCCCACAUCGCAGGCGGCUCCAACAUUUCAGCCGGCAUCACAGCCGUCUCAAUCAGUUCACUUAACAUCCCAUCCAGCUCUAAUGGAUCAUCCAGCUCCAAUGGAUCAGGCCGCAUCACAGCCAUCUCGAUCAGUUCACUCGACUCCAACAGAUCAGGACUCAUCACAGCGAGGUCCAACAGUUCAGGACUCAUCACAGCGAGGUCCAACAGUUCAGGCCUCAUCUAGAAAGCGUUCUGGGAGCCAUUGGACUGUAGAAGCAAUAGGUAAAUAUUUUUGACUAUUAGUACAUAUUCAGCAGUCCCUCUAAGUCCCUUCAGACCUUACGUGAAAGUUGGUUACUUUCAAUUUUGUGAUGCAAUUGCAGUACUUAUCAGGUUUUCCCUGCAUGCUUGUCUUAUCUUUGAAAAAUUCAACAACUAUAUAGUGAAUUUGGUGGCAUUUUCUACCUUUCCACUUGAGUUUCCUUUGAAUUCCAAUCUCAAAGAAAUAUUGGUGGGGGAGGGGGGCGUUUUUCAAGAAAGGCAUGUUCUCUCUUUUCAUACUCUACUUUGGUUUUCUUUAAUUUGUAAUGUUAUUUGUUGUUCUUGGUCUUUACUUAGAAGAAGAAUAAGCUGUAUUUUUGGUGAUGCAAGGUUUAUGACUAAGCCUUUGCUGAACUAAUUUAGUAUCCAUUCCAAUAGAAGGCUUAUAAACCGGAUUAAAUUCUCGACCAGUUUAGUUUCUGGACCGGGCUCUGGAAGUAGAAAUGAGAGAGCUAAGACGUGUUUGAGCUAAAUAUGAACAUUGUGUUUGAGCUAAAUAUGGACAUUGUGUUUGAGCUAAAUAUGAGCAGGUGAGUUGACAACUGCCACUCAAUAUUAACAAUGGAAUUUAAUUGGAUGACCAAGUCAAAAUUCAAAAAGGGACCAAAAACAAUGAUUGUACUUCAAGUACUGAAGGUUCAUGUUCGUCCCAAUGUCAAUAUAACCAUAAUCAAAUGAUGAAUGCUCACAAUCAAAUGAUGAACGUUUUCAAGGCAUAUAUGAUAAUGAAAGAAGGGACUAUACCAGAACAGUUUGCGGGGUUCUUUGCUUCUCCUUCGACGGUUUCUCCUGCAACGCCAAGUGAUGCGGACUGUGGACCCCUUUCACCAAUGGACGCAAGAAGAUCAUGCGGUGAUAGUAAUUCUAGUGGAAACCGUUGAUUUCAUUGCAAUUGCAUUUAGAUCAUUAAUUGUGACAAUGUAAUUGUGUGGUUGAAGCAGAUGUUAGAAUAUUGGGGUGAAUAUUUUGUGUUUAAAAUAGUUUUUGAGUGAUGCUACUUAAUGUUGACAAUUUAGUUUUAAAGACUAAUGAUAUUUUAUGAUAACGUUUUGUGAUUUUAUGA